CAAAAUAGCCAAAAUAAAAGGAGAAUCAAGAAACCCAAAAACUCUAGAUCCCAAUACAGAGAUAAUUAAAUAGCGUCCCUCCACAACUCGAUGUCAGCAUUAAUCUGUUUAAUCAAGAACCCCAACAUUACAUCAUCAGGUUAAGAGAAAGAAAGCCCUAAGACUUUACCAAGCUUUAACAUUUAAUGAGCUUCCUCACUAACAUUGAAAGGAACAUCUCCAUAACUCCUUUUAGGAUUGGAGCUCCGAAUGCGAGAAUUGACAUGAUUUAUGUCACUAUAUGAAGGAGAGCAAGGGGAAACCUGGUUUGAGCUCUUUGAGCGAUCUGGAGAUGUUCGAUCCUUCAAUUGC
rnacentral:misc_RNA from 1 species